CCUAGGCCUGUUUUAUUUGCUAGCAGGCCUCACAGCCCACUUGAAUUCCUUUGUGAGAUGUGUUCCUCAUGAUACAGUACAAUACCUUGUGGAAGGACUGCUUUCUAUGUGUGGAAAUGCUAUUCCGUAAUGUAAGAGUGAUACUGAGGAGGAUGUUAGCAAAGAAAAAGGAAGCAAAUUCAUCAUGGUGGUGUCAGCCAGAAGAAAAUAAGAGGUGCUGUAGAGUUAGUUGGACGGACUGGUCCUUGGCAAGACCUGGAAAGGCCUGCUGCUGCCCGACAAGACAGCACGAAGCAGCGUUCCCAGGAAGACAUCAGGGUGCCUCCCAUAAAGCAGAACAGAGGUGGUGUUGUGGUCAGUUCAAAGCAAGCCAGCGCCUCUGAAGCAGCUGACAAAGGCCGCUAUUGCACAUCAAGGAGCACGGUGUGGGGAAGGAGAAUUUAUUUGCCUCACCUGGAACCGGGAGCUGUUUUACUGUGCUCACAUCUCAGUCCAACAGUUACUGUAAAUCAAGUUCCCACUCCCCAGUUUCUCAGAAAGUGAAACUAAAUCAAGCCAGGAAUGGUUUUACAGGCACAGGACCUGUUUUCAGGCCUCUGACACAUUUCAUGGAUGAGUCAAAAGAAUAUGAGCAGUAUUUUUAUGCUCAGACAGCACAGAGGAUAUGUCCAUUCUUCUCCUGUAAGGGAGGAUUUCCUAAUCUAACUGAGCCCGUAGUAACACCUAGUAACAUCUGGUUUUAAUAGCCAUGUUGCCCUUGUAGAAAAGCCCCGUGGCAGGAUAAGCUACUCAGCACAGUGCUGGCAGUUCAUUCCCAUUUCAGCUGGGAAUGAAGUCCACAUGGUUCUAUGUCAUCCUAGAAAAAAAAUGUGGGGGUCUGUGACUGAAACAGAGCCCCGUGGCUGCUUGGAAGCAUAACAAAAGAUGGAGAAGUCACUGAAGUGAGAAAACCUGGAGAGAUGAGCAGUUUGAGAAAAGUGUUAGCAUCAUUUUGCAGAGAGCAAAAUGGAAGCAGAGUGGGGUUGCAGCAGCCCGGAGGAAGCUGCUGGUACAGCUGGAAGCAUACCGUGGAUCUAGGCCAGCAUCCUGAGCAGAGGUGCAUCUUUCUUCCCUAACCUUCAGACACAACAGUGAUAGAGGGAAACAUUCUCAGGAAGGAUGAAAUGCACGGGGAAGGGUGAAGAAGCCCUCUCUAUUCCUUAUAGUGAAGAGAAUUUUGUUUCUUUCGUGUUUCAUCAGGUUUAGUCAAAAUGUUAGCAGCUACACUCAUCAGCCACCUCUCACAACAGAAUGUGCUUAACGUGGGGGAUCUGAGUGUCCCAGAUUCCCCUCUAAAUGCCUUUAAAGUCACCUAGCUCUCGCCAUGUUGUCUAGCACUGCGUUUGGGCUCCUUCAGUCAGCCCCAGUGGUCAGGCACAAGUUCUGUACCGGAGUUAGGGAGGCCUGACCCCGAUCCCCAGGAUUUCUGUAUUUGACAGGCUGAUGGGAAAGCGGAAAUAACUACCAGCGUAUCCUACUUCAAAAGUUCCUAUUUCAUAACUGUUUUCUGGCUGGUUAAUGCGUGCACUUCUCAUUUUACAAAGCAAAUGUGCACAACUGCUACUCCAGGACGUGCCACAUGGAGAUGGCUGUGACCCCUCCCCAUGGCUCCUGCAGCCCCAGUCACCUCCCAGUUGCUCCUUCCAAGAGAUGGGGAGAUCCAUGACCAGCACAUCUGCUGGCUUUGGCUCCGGCCUCUGAUGCUGGGUCCAGGGCCCAUCUCUAUGAAGGUCUCAUCCCAGCACUGUGCUCAGUGCCCACCAGAGGAGUGUGAUGAGUUUACCCGUAUGUUUUCCCAGCAAUAUUCACUGUUUGCCGCUUAACUUCUGACUGACCACGGAUAUUGUACAAAACCCUCCAAUAAACACCAAACCUGUGUUGACCCAGGACUUCACUCAUGAGUUCUGCUUGGGUCUAGGGAAGGAGGAACAAGAGAAAAGUUGCUGACACCGAAUCACUCUCUGUGAAAUAAAAACCGAUCCAGGGAUUUCCUGCUUUUUGCAAAAGGUUUGGUGUUUUGUUCUCUCCCUGUUCAGGAGGGAAUGAUGGGUUAAUGCCUGCAUUUGCACAGUGACACUGCCGUGUACCUGGGAGUCACGGAGUGAGAAGGGAGUCCCAGGGCUGUGCUGGGAAUGAGCAGUGAGGGUGCCAGGGUGCCCCUCAAGCGACAGCCUCACGUGGCAGAUGACCCACCACGUGGCGUUUCAUACGCCGGGGCCACAGGAAAUUGUGAAAUUUGUACAUAAGCUUCAGCUUCUAGCUGUGUGAUGUUUGUCAGCUGCUCAUACGAACCUCAAGUGGCCAGUCUGGUGUUCAGGGCUCAGCUGUGUGCCUGUACAAGCUGGUACGCUGCCGUGCCCAGCCCUGGGAUUCUCAGCCACAGGUGGCCAGGCGCUGAAAAACAAGACAUCGCAUACAUUUUGCACUGUGCAUCACCCAAAGGAAUGAAGAGGGGUGUUUUCUACACGUUGAUCAGAAAAAUGUGGCUUGACCUCCAAAGGGAUUCGGCACAGCUCAGGGCCAGAAGCUGGGCAGCAGGACAGACCAAGGACAGCAGGGAUCUGUAUCUGUGAGACCAGCGAGAGGAGGAAAUGAGGAGCAGAAAGGAAUGGAAAGCAGUAGCAGGAGCACGUCUGUUGAGAAUUUUGUAAAUGUGAUGGGGCAACAGGACGGAGCAGUUAAGCACAGAUCGUUGCAGAUUUUCCUGUUGUGAACUCCACUCCCUGGCACAUGCACUUCUUUCCUGUGCUUGCCUAACACAUAGCUGCGGUGCUGCGGUGUAGCGGUUGCUUCCUGGGAGGAGGACGUGUUCCAGAAGGGACUGGGUGACUGCAGUACAUGCUCCUGAUGGGCAACGCUCAGCCCCAAGUCUGGGCCCAGAAACCUUGCCGUAUUUCACAGGUACAAAAAGUAGCCACGCGACCAAGGCGUGCAGCGCACAGCCCUCAAACAUCAUCUUCUCCUCCUUAGACAAUGGGACAGGACAUGCCUGAUGGUUAUUAUCUGUGGCCCAAACCCUCCCCACUGGCUGUGCAAAAUCAGCACAUGGGUGUAUGUUGCUCAUGAUUACUUUAUCCUCUGCAUGAAAAGGGAAGAGCUCUUGGAGUGUCUCUCUGCACCAUCCACACCACCUGCACCCUUAAGCCUCCUUCCAGCUGGCUGGAGCGCUGAAUCCCAAAAGGACUUGCAAUAAAAGGUUCCCUUCCUCUCUAAUCCUCCCUGCCUGUACACAUAUGUCCACACACAGCUCCUUGUACACACGCAUGCGUGCACACAUGCAUAGACAUGGGUGUGUUUAAAGGCAUAGGGCCCAUUGUAAAAUCAAGAAAUGCCAAAUUUACCUUUUGUUCAAUUAUGGCCUCUUGUCUCCAAACAGGGCCACAUCUGAGAAAUAGGAAUGAUGUGUACUGAUCAGCAAUAAUGAGCCACUGCUGAGCUAGCUAACCAUGACAUGAAAAUCAGAGUUAUAUUUUUAAUGACCUUUCACUAGAACAAGUUAGUGCUUUUUCUUCUGGUCUCACAAAAGCUUUGCCCUCUGCCCCCAGGGUACCUGUGACAAUUUCAAAAUUCCAAGUUAGUGGGGAGAUCAAACUGAGGCCCCCAACACAAGCUGGCUGAAAUUUAAGGUUUGCCAGUCCUUCUUCUGAGGAACUAAGAAUGAACUGUGUGUGUAUGCAUUCAUGUGAAAAAUAUGAUGCCUAUGCUCCAGCAUGUGGGUCAGACACUUUAAGUUAUCCUGUGAUAAAUACCACUAGUAAAAUGCUCAAGGAUAGUUUUAGAGGGUGCAUUUGGUGUACUCUAGAUGAAGAAAAAGACAAAUAAGGCUCGAAGGCUUUCACGUAGGAGAUAAGAGUUUGAGUUGAAUUGAAAAGCUGUGCAUUCAUCUGCCAAGCAGCAGCUUUGCUGAGGUUUGUCUGGUUUGAUCACAAUUUUCAUUUCACACUUUCAUGGAAACUUCAGGAGGUAACUGGCUCCCUGAGCAUUGUUCUGCAGGGCAAGCCAGCCUGCAAGUGAGUCAGACAGUUUAACUCACAGUCGUGUCACAAACCCUUCACACUAUGCCUUAUGUGUAAAAAGCAAAGCAAAACAAGUCUCAUAAAACAUUAAAACUUCACGAGAAAACACCACUAGAGGGGGCUGGCCCUACAUGAGCCAGUUCAGGUUUGUGCAGCCCUCAGGGACACCAGCCCGUGCAAACACACCUGACUGUAGCUAUAGCCACAGAAAUUGCCAGGCCUGCCCAAACCAGGAGAAAACCCAUAAUGCUAACCUCAGCAAUGUGGCACUGCUGUGUUGAUGCUGUUCUCUAGUCCGAAGGUGUGUCUGCAGAAACACCCCAAGCUGGAGAUGAGCAAGCCUUCAUCCCCGGGGGGAGCAAUGCCCACGUGCAACAGCAGUUUCUGCAGAACUGCACCCGCUGUUCGCUGCAUGCCCUGGCUCCUUACUCCCACGCCCCCAAACUUUCCCACCUCUACUCCUAUAUCCCCUUAAGUCCCUUUACAACUUAUUCGCUGUGAAAGACGCACCAAGUGCCAACUCUCUGCUUGCUGCCAGGUUAGCACUGCAGAGUGCAGCCUUCUGCCCCUGGAGCCUGGCAGAGAGGCUGUGGGUCGGGUCCCAAAAGCCCAACUGCUUUUGGAACUCCUUCAGUCUGUAGACACUGUCUAUUAAUUAGUCCUGGAAAGCUUUACAGUCAGUCCUACAACAUGGUGAGAAACCACUGAAGGAUAUCCCUAAGAAAACAGUUCAAUGUUAGCGAUUGUAUUUGGAAGAAACAGGACCACAGUUCACAAAGACAUAUUUUUUCAGGCAAUUAUUGGCACAUAUCACCUCCUCCAAGCCAUCCUGGCACGGCCCAGCUCUCACCCAGAAGCCAGAGGGAAACAGUGCUGCACUUGAGCUAAUAAUAAUAACGAGGAUAUCAAUUUGUGUGGAUACUGAGGCUCACGGCUUGUUCCCAGCCAGCUCCAAGCCCCCAGCACAGAGGGUGUGUGUGUGGCCGUGUUUGUCUAAGCCUGCAUCUACCGUUGCAGAAGGACCUGUGGUACCCCUCAGUGCCACAGCUCACCUUCCUCACCACAAACGGGAGAGAAAGCAAAAAGCUGCUGCAAAGUUUACCGGGGAUCUUGCUAACUCCUGGAUUUGUGAUGCUUUGGAAUUAUUUUGAAUGAUCAGUUCUUCAGCACGCACAAAUCCUCUGGACAACAUCGGUCCCAGAAAGCUUUAAAGAGCACGCUGCUGCCUGACCCCAUUCCUGGCAGCCCAUAGCUGGGCACUCGCACUGAAAGGACAUUCAACCGAAUUAACUGACUCCAGCUAAAAUCCUAGCGCAGACAAAGCGCUUUGGGGUUUUUAGUGCAAUUAGUACAGCAAGUGGAGAAAGAGUCACAAAGGUGCUUUCAUCCUUCAGCUCCACGUAAAGCGGAUUCCAGGUGCUUUGACCUGACGGAGUGAAGCCUACCUCCAUUGUUGGUUUGGCCUUUGUCCACAGGUGCCUAAAUUGUCCUUGCAGCUUGCCAAGGCACCUCUGCACCUACCUACUCAUAUGGAUUAUCAUGCUGUGGGAGCCACACACAGACAACACCGAGUCCACUCAAAAUUGCUGAGGAGGAGGGAAAAUUGUGUACAUGCAGUUUCAGCUCCUUGUCAUCACAUCUCAGCAGGGCUCACCAGCCGCAAGCCAGUAGGAAUAACAUGUGUGGUGGAAAGCAGAAGAGAUGAUGGGUAGGGAAAGGCGGAAUACUUUUUGUCCCAUGUACUGAUGCUACAGAGCUGUCUUCAGGCAUCCAAGACUCAGGGGGCCAAAGGCAGGAGCUGGCAGAGGAUUCCUGUCCUUGUGGCCCAAUGCUGAAGACAGAGCAGCAGGAGGUCCAUGUAUUGGGCCCUGCCAUUGACAUUACAGAUACAUUUUAUCUGAUAAUUAUUUUGGGACAAAUUCUGUAAUCUAACCACGGGAGCACAGGUGGUGGCCUGUCCAUGGGAGUACUUGUGUACAAAGAAGGCCUGUGUAAUCAGUUUUUCACUCUCCCCUAUCUUUUUCUUCUCCUUUCCCUUGGGCUGCCUCUGGGUCCCAGUUGCCUUCAUAAUGGAUUUCUCUCAUUUAACUAAAAGUUGAAAAAAAAAAAAGCUGCUAUACAUAAUAGUUCUGUAACUGUCUGGGUUGAUAAUAAAAUCAGAGGAUUGUGGUUUU